UACGAAGGGGGCUAGCGUUGUUCGGAUUUACUGGGCGUAAAGCGCACGUAGGCGGAUCGAUCAGUCAGGGGUGAAAUCCCAGAGCUCAACUCUGGAACUGCCUUUGAUACUGUCGAUCUGGAGUAUGGAAGAGGUGAGUGGAAUUCCGAGUGUAGAGGUGAAAUUCGUAGAUAUUCGGAGGAACACCAGUGGCGAAGGCGGCUCACUGGUCCAUUACUGGCGCUGAGGUGCGAAAGCGUGGGGAGCAAACAGG
rnacentral:rRNA from 1 species